rnacentral:rRNA from 1 species
GUGAGGAAUAUUGCUCAAUGGGCGCAAGCCUGAAGCAGCGACGCCGCGUGGAUGAAGAAGGUUUUCGGACUGUAAAAUCCUUUUCUGUGUGACGAGAGUGGACGGUAGCACAGGAAUAAGUCUCGGCUAACUACGUGCCAGCAGCCGCGGUAAAACGUAGGAGGCAAGCGUUAUCCGGAGUUACUGGGCGUAAAGCGCGUGUAGGUGGUCUGAUAAGUUACCUAUGAAAGCCCUUGGCUAAACUAAGGGAGGCUGGGUGAUACUGCCAGACUUGAAUAGAGGAGAGGUUGACGGAAUUCCGCGUGUAGUGGUGAAAUGCGUAGAGAUGCGGAAGAACACCAGUGGCGAAGGCGGUCAACUGGCCUCAUAUUGACACUCAGACGCGAAGGCAUGGGUAGCGAACGGGAUUAGAAACCCUGGUAGUCC